AGAGUUUGAUCAUGGCUCAGAGUGAACGCUGGCGGCGUGCUUAACACAUGCAAGUCGAACGAGAACGGAUUAUAGCUUGCUAUAAUUGUCGCUAAGUGGCGCACGGGUGAGUAAUAUAUAGGAACAUGCCUCUUACUAAGGGAUAACAGAUGGAAACGUCUGCUAAUACCUUAUAUGCCUUUAAUACUGAAGUAUGCAAGGGAAAGAUUUAUUGGUAAGAGAUUGGCCUGUACGGUAUCAGUUAGUUGGUGAGGUAAUGGCUCACCAAGACGAUGACACCUAACUGGUUUGAGAGGAUGAUCAGUCACACUGGAACUGAGACACGGUCCAGACUCCUACGGGAGGCAGCAGUGGGGAAUAUUGCACAAUGGACGAAAGUCUGAUGCAGCAACGCCGCGUGGAGGAUGAACAUUUCGGUGCGUAAACUCCUUUUAUAGGUCAAGAUAAUGACGGUAGCCUAUGAAUAAGCGCCGGCUAACUCCGUGCAGCAGCCGGGUAAUACGGAGGGCGCAAGCGUUACUCGGAAUCACUGGGCGUAAAGCGCGCGUAGGUGGUUCAGUCAGUCAGAUGUGAAAGCCCCGGGCUCAACCUGGGAAUUGCACCUGAUACUGCUGAGCUAGAGUACGGUAGAGGGUAGUGGAAUUUCCGGUGUAGCGGUGAAAUGCGUAGAGAUCGGAAGGAACACCAGUGGCGAAGGCGACUACCUGGACCGAUACUGACACUGAGGUGCGAAAGCGUGGGUAGCAAACAGGAUUAGAUACCCUGGUAGUCCACGCCGUAAACGAUGUCAACUAGCCGUUGGGGGACUUGAUCCUUUAGUGGCGCAGCUAACGCGAUAAGUUGACCGCCUGGGGAGUACGGCCGCAAGGUUAAAACUCAAAUGAAUUGACGGGGGCCCGCACAAGCGGUGGAGCAUGUGGUUUAAUUCGAAGCAACGCGAAGAACCUUACCUACUCUUGACAUCCAGAGAACUUUCCAGAGAUGGAUUGGUGCCUUCGGGAACUCUGAGACAGGUGCUGCAUGGCUGUCGUCAGCUCGUGUUGUGAAAUGUUGGGUUAAGUCCCGUAACGAGCGCAACCCCUAUCCUUAUUUGCCAGCACUUCGGGUGGGAACUCUAAGGAGACUGCCGGUGACAAACCGGAGGAAGGUGGGGAUGACGUCAAGUCAUCAUGGCCCUUACGAGUAGGGCUACACACGUGCUACAAUGGCCGGUACAGAGGGCUGCAAACUCGCGAGGGUAAGCUAAUCUCACAAAACCGGUCGUAGUCCGGAUUGGAGUCUGCAACUCGACUCCAUGAAGUCGGAAUCGCUAGUAAUCGUGAAUCAGAAUGUCACGGUGAAUACGUUCCCGGGCCUUGCAUACACCCCCGUC
rnacentral:rRNA from 1 species